rnacentral:rRNA from 1 species
UACAGAGGGGGCAAGCGUUGUUCGGAAUUACUGGGCGUAAAGGGCGCGUAGGUGGCCUCUAAGUUGAACGUGAAAUCCCUGGGCUCAACCCAGGAACUGCGUCCAAGACUGGGAGGCUUGAAUCCGGGAGAGGGAUGCGGAAUUCCAGGUGUAGCGGUGAAAUGCGUAGAUAUCUGGAGGAACACCGGUGGCGAAGGCGGCAUCCUGGACCGGUAUUGACACUGAGGCGCGAAAGCCAGGGGAGCAAACGGG